UAAGGAGACAUGAAUAUUCCUCAUCUUUCUGCCUUUUGCAUAACUGCCUGUGAGUAAGAGCUGUUCUUGCAGAGGAAUUGUCCAGGAGCCCUAGCUGGAGGAGGAAGAGGCAGAAGUGGACCUGAGUAGCUUGGACAUCCUUUUAAGCAGACACGAACAGUCCUCAGCUUUAUGUCUCUUGCAUAACUGGCUUUCCAAGUGAAAAGAAGUCAGUCUACUGCCCUCAUGCGAUGGAAAGCGAGCGAGAGCGACGAGACCUCGAGCAUUGUUCAUGCCAGGCAAGAGCCGUCCAUCUGGGAGCGGAACAGCUGCCACUGUCACUGAGAUAAGUGUCUGUUUUGCUGCGGGUUCUGCUCACGGCCCACCUGGCUCCAGGUAGGGACACCCCAUCAGCUGGGGCUGGAUUUAUAAGAAAAUGUUCCUCACUAGCUUUGGUUAUGAGGGAGACAAUGUCCUCAUUUCUGUGUCCAGUAGCUGUGUUCCCUCCUCAGCAGAAGAUUGGAUCCAGGAGGAUGACACCAGGUGUUUACAGAGGAAUCGUCCAAGAGCCUUAGCCGGAGGAGAGGGUGGCAGAAGUGAAGCUGAGCUGCCUGAACAUCCUUCUAAGGAGACAUGAAUAGUCCUCAGAUUUCUGAAUUCUGCAUAACUGUCUGUGAGUAAGAGUACCAAGGAAAAAGAAGUCACACGUCAGAGUCUACUGCCCUCAUGCGAUGGAAAGUG